AUAUACAUGUGGAAAUGUCCAGUAACAAAUAUAAUGCAGGAUAUUAUUUAGCAAGAAUGGAUUAUUCAAUAUGAAAUAUAAUGUGAAUGUAAAAUGUACAGUGGGAGUUGAAGUCCAGUUAUUAAGAGAAGCUAUGGAGCAGAGAGUUCUCUGCCAGCCAGAGGGGAUUUGUUAUAGAGAGUUAUUGCAGUGGGCAGGAAUGUUUUCCUGUAUCUGUCCUUGUGACAGCGGAGCUGCAGAAGUCUGUUGGAGAAGGAGCUCCGCUGGCCAUAAUUACACAUUCAAAUGAGAAGACACUUGAUUUUUGGAGAUACACUGAUGUUGUUAAUCAUCAGUGAAUUGUGUAGGAACACCCUGUGGCCGCAGGGUAGAGCUGUUUCUCAGGUAUUCACUCAUACAGGGAGAAUCUCAUUAAUUGAAUGUUUGUCUGUCUGCUGUCAGUCAGCAGAUUCAGUUCGGUGCUGUGAGACUCAUUUUGCUUUGUUCUGGAUUUAUUUUCUAAGCAACACUUGGAUACAACAUCGCAUCUCCAGGCCCAGAACACAUUACCUCCAGCAGUUUAAGCUUCUAGUUUCAGUGUUUCAGUACAAAUGCAGCGCUGCACACCAAAGAUGGCUUCCACCCUCAGGUGAAGGCUGCCUGCCAGGUUCAGAGGACGGACUCAGUGAGGGCUCACAGACAGCACAGAGGCCGAUCGGACACCAACCAAGAGGAAAUCCAACUGCUGCUGAUCAGAAAAUGGCCGCCUGGAUACACUGUACUGAGCACACAGCAACACAUGACGGCACAGAGGAGGGGGAAAUCAGACUGAAAUAUGGACUCACCAUGCACACUGUGGAUAUAAUGAACAGACUGUAUAUAAAGUGAUGACAUAACUAAAACAUGUAUUUGUGUUGCUCUCAGGUGGCCUGAGAGGAGGUUGUAUAUAUUGAUUUCUAAGUUAAGACAACAAGAAGUCCUCUCAGAAAUGUUUGUACUGCUGGAUGGAGUUACACAUUUUAAAGCUUUGUAAUAUGUGACCCGCUCUAUCGAAAUCAGUCGGAAGUCGCAACGGCUCAUUUAAAAAAUAAACGUGGAUUUGCGUACAAAACUAUUUUUUCGGGGUUCGAGUGUUUUGCUUGAUUGUAAACAAACAAAGUCUUGGCUUUCAGAAUAUGAAACUUUUAUUUCCAAACUCACACGAUAAAUACAUUC